rnacentral:piRNA from 1 species
CAGACUUAGUACUACCAUUUUGCUCAAG